rnacentral:tRNA from 1 species
GGAAACAUGUCUGAUAAAAGAAUUACUUUGAUAGAGUAAAUUAUAGGGGUUUAAAUCCCCUUGUUUCUA